rnacentral:rRNA from 1 species
UACGAAGGGGGCUAGCGUUGUUCGGAAUUACUGGGCGUAAAGCGUGCGCAGGCGGUUAUGCAAGACAGGUGUGAAAUCCCCGGGCUCAACCUGGGAACUGCAUUUGCGACUGCAUAGCUGGAGUGCGGCAGAGGGGGAUGGAAUUCCGCGUGUAGCAGUGAAAUGCGUAGAUAUGCGGAGGAACACCGAUGGCGAAGGCAAUCCCCUGGGCCGGCACUGACGCUCAUGCACGAAAGCGUGGGGAGCAAACAGG